AUGAAUUUUACAUUUAUUCAAUGCAGGUACACUUAGUAUGUGGAGUUACUUGUCAAUAGCUGGCGAUAAAACUUUUAAACGUAACGUCUUUAAGGGCUGAGAAGGUAAAAAUUAGAAGUCUGCAGACUGCAACGUAAAUCGAUUUCAACACGAUAUGGCUUCUCGAAUAUAUUUAGUUUCCGAUUGAAAUGAGAAUAAACUGAACUUAUAUAUAAAGUGUUAUAUAAAGUGUUUACAAUUAACUUUUUAAACUAGAAAUACUCCAAAGGAGGUUCUCCAAACGCAAGUUAAGCAAAGUCGAUAAAUGUUAAUAACUUUUAUAUUAUGUUUUAGAUAUAAAAAAAAAUUUAUGUGACUUUAAUAUUUAUGUUAUAAUUGUAAAUUGCAAUCUUAAAAGGAUUUUAUUAUUACUUCA
rnacentral:lncRNA from 1 species